rnacentral:rRNA from 1 species
AUGGAAUUAAGGUUGCCUCGUAUGCUUCAUCUUUUUAAUGUCUUUCGUGAAAAUGAUGGGAAGGAAAAUUGUGCCCAAGUACUAGAAGAAGAAUUACAUAGAAUGCUUGGCAUAAAAUAUAUGAAUGAUGAGCAUGAUUGCAAUGUUGUUAGUAUGAAUUCUUUGAAUACCCAUGAUGCUAAUGAUAUGCAAAGCCACGAGUUUGGGGAUGCUAUGUUUGAUGAAGAUGAUAUGUUUUGUCCCCCAAGUUUUGAUGAGCAAAUUUAUUAUGAUGAAAGCAUGCCUCCUAUUUAUGAUGAUUAUAUUGAUGAAAUUGGGUUUGGAAGAGUGUCAACUUUAGGAAGUAAUGAUCCCACUAUUUUGGAGGGUGUUGAAUCUUAUAAUAUUUAUGAAAGUGGAUUUGGAGAGGUCAUGACUUUAUUUAGUGAUGAAUCCACUAUUUCGAAAGAGGUUCCAAUUGAUUAUGAGAACAAAGUUGCUAUCUAUGAUGAUUAUUGUGAUGACUUGUAUGCUAUUAAGAAUAAUGAUAACCAUGAAACUUGUCAUCAUGAUUUUAGUUUUCAAUUGGAUUAUGCCUCACAUAAUAGUUAUUUUGUUGAAUUUGCUCCCACUACUAUUCAUGAGAAGAAAUUUGCUUAUGUGGAGAGUAAUAAAAAUUCUAUGCUUGUGGCUCAUGAAAAGAAUGCUUUAUGUGAUAGUUAUAUUGUUGAAUUCAUUCAUGAUGCUACUGAAAAUUAUUAUGAGGGAGGAAUAUAUGCUUCUACAUAUUGCAAUAAUAUCAAGUUUCCUCUCUAUGUGUUGAAAAUCUUGAAGAUUUGCUUGUUUUGCCUUCCUAUGCUAGUUGAUUAUUGUUCCCAUAAGUUGUUUGCUCACAAAAUCCCUAUGCAUAGGAAGUGGGUUAUACUUAAAUGUGUUAGUAAUAUGCUUCAUGAUGAUCUCUUUAUGUUUCAAUUCUUAUCUUUUAGGCGAGCAUCAUUGAAAUCAUCAUUUCUAGCUAAAAGGCAUUAA